UUUCCGUAGGUGAACCUGCGGAAGGAUCAUUGUAUCAAUCAAUACACACACCGUGAACUCUAUCUGUCCGGGCUCUCGGGUGGGUUAUCCAUCAUCCAUCCCUGCGUCUGGCCUGCCAUUCACUUGGCUUGCUCAGACGGAUCUCGGGGCCCUGCCAUUUCUCGGGCACUUCGUUGUGCUCGGCUGCAGGGUCGUCUGGGGUUGGCCCUCAAUUAACCAUCAACACCCCAACUCAUUUUUACUGAAGCAACCUUGCAGUUCGGCUCGUCCGACUGCAUCCAAACAAAGACAACUCUCAACAACGGAUAUCUUGGCUCUC
rnacentral:misc_RNA from 1 species